rnacentral:rRNA from 1 species
AACGAACGCUGGCGGCAUGCCUAACACAUGCAAGUCGAACGAGACCUUCGGGUCUAGUGGCGCACGGGUGCGUAACGCGUGGGAACCUGCCCUUAGGUUCGGAAUAACUCCCCGAAAGGGGUGCUAAUACCGGAUAAUGUCUUCGGACCAAAGAUUUAUCGCCUUUGGAUGGGCCCGCGUUGGAUUAGCUAGUUGGUAGGGUAAAAGCCUACCAAGGCGACGAUCCAUAGCUGGUCUGAGAGGAUGAUCAGCCACACCGGGACUGAGACACGGCCCAGACUCCUACGGGAGGCAGCAGUGGGGAAUAUUGGACAAUGGGCGAAAGCCUGAUCCAGCAAUGCCGCGUGAGUGAUGAAGGCCUUAGGGUUGUAAAGCUCUUUUACCCGGGAUGAUAAUGACAGUACCGGGAGAAUAAGCGCCGGCUAACUCCGUG